rnacentral:rRNA from 1 species
AUUGAACGCUGGCGGCAUGCCUUACACAUGCAAGUCGAACGGCAGCACGGGAGCAAUCCUGGUGGCGAGUGGCGAACGGGUGAGUAAUAUAUCGGAACGUGCCCAGUCGUGGGGAUAACGUAGCGAAAGCUACGCUAAUACCGCAUACGAUCUAUGGAUGAAAGCGGGGGAUCGCAAGACCUCGCGCGAUUGGAGCGGCCGAUAUCAGAUUAGGUAGUUGGUGAGGUAAAGGCUCACCAAGCCGACGAUCUGUAGCUGGUCUGAGAGGACGACCAGCCACACUGGGACUGAGACACGGCCCAGACUCCUACGGGAGGCAGCAGUGGGGAAUAUUGGGACAAUGGGCGCAAGCCUGAUCCAGCCAUGCCGCGUGCAGGAUGACGGUCCGUAUGGAUUGUAACUG